rnacentral:rRNA from 1 species
GAUGAACGCUGGCGGCGUGCCUAAUACAUGCAAGUCGAGCGAACGGACGAGAAGCUUGCUUCUCUGAUGUUAGCGGCGGACGGGUGAGUAACACGUGGAUAACCUACCUAUAAGACUGGGAUAACUUCGGGAAACCGGAGCUAAUACCGGAUAAUAUUUUGAACCGCAUGGUUCAAAAGUGAAAGACGGUCUUGCUGUCACUUCUAGAUGGAUCCGCGCUGCAUUAGCUAGUUGGUAAGGUAACGGCUUACCAAGGCAACGAUGCAUAGCCGACCUGAGAGGGUGAUCGGCCACACUGGAACUGAGACACGGUCCAGACUCCUACGGGAGGCAGCAGUAGGGAAUCUUCCGCAAUGGGCGAAAGCCUGACGAAGCAACGCCGCGUGAGUGAUGAAGGUCUUCGGAUCGUAAAACUCUGUUAUUAGGGAAGAACAUAUGUGUAAGUAACUGUGCACAUCUUGACGGUACCUAAUCAGAAAGCCACGGCUAACUACGUG